UACAGAGGUCCCAAGCGUUGUUCGGAUUCACUGGGCGUAAAGGGUGCGCAGGUGGGUUUGCAAGUUUGAUGUGAAAGCCCCGGGCUUAACCCGGGAAUGGCAUUGAAUACUGCAGAUCUGGAGGAUUGGAGGGGGGACUGGAAUUCUUGGUGUAGCAGUGAAAUGCGUAGAUAUCAAGAGGAACACCAGUGGCGAAGGCGAGUCCCUGGGCCGAUACUGACGCUGAGGAGCGAAAGCGUGGGGAGCGAACAGG
rnacentral:rRNA from 1 species